rnacentral:rRNA from 1 species
GAUCAUGGCUCAGGAUGAACGCUGGCGGCGUGCUUAACACAUGCAAGUCGAACGAAGAGGCAUUAAGGAAGUUUUCGGAUGGAAUUAAUGAAUCUUAGUGGCGGACGGGUGAGUAACGUGUGGGCAACCUGCCCUUUACAGGGGAAUAAUCAUUGGAAACGAUGACUAAUACCGCAUGACAUCUUUGGUAGGCAUCUACCGAAGAGAAAAGGAGGAAUCCGGGUAAAAGGAUGGGCCCGCAU